UCUUAUGUGAACCCUAUAGCGGCAGCACGGGCCAAGGGACCCGCACCCAACGCUGGGCCGUCUAUUCAGGAUUAUCUUAGCAGACCACGGCCCACAUGGGAAGAGGUGAAGGAGAUAAUCGAGAAGAAGAAGAAAGGCUCUAGAGCACUCGCAGACUUUGAGGAUCAAAUGAACGAGAAUUGGAAGAAGGAGCUGGCUAAAAACAGAGAGAAACUGCUAGCUGGAGGUGACAAAGACAAAGAGAAAGAGGAGAAGGAGAAGAAAGACAAGGAGAAGAGGGAGAAGGAGAAGAAGGACAAGGAGAAGAAGGAGAAGAGAGAGGUUGGAUUCCGCGCAUGUUAGACGCAUAUUUUAUUUUAAACAACCGUGUGUGUGCUGCCUCUCGUGCCAACUCUUGUUUUAUGUUUAGAAAAAGAAGAGAGAGCGCGAAAAGAAGGAAAAGGGAAAGAAGUCCAACAGGGUGAGGAAAACUGUCUCUGAUGUGGUGUUGAAGCCUGGCAGGAAGGGGGUCCGGUGGUGGUGCCGGUCCUACAACAAUGAGAAACCUUCACCAGUGUAUUCCUGUGUCAGUUGCUGUAUUCAAAUCUAAUGAGCUUUGCUUUUUUUUUAUUGUGUUUGGUCAAGCAUUCCUCAUCUUCCUCCUCUUCAUCGAGUUCUGAUUCCUCCAGCAGCUCUUCAUCCGACUCUGAAGACGAGAAUGAAAAGAAGAGUGUCAAAAAGAAACGGAGAAAGAAGCGUGCGUCCUUCAAGAAAGCAUCAGAUGACUCCACUGUAGAAUCGGAGCCUGACAACAAGGUCUCCUUCCCUCUCAUUAUGUUUCUCUCCAAGAAGACGAAGAUGGAGAUGGAGACGAAGAAGAAGAAAUAUGAGGAAAAAGAGAAGGAGGAAAAGAGCCACAGGAGAAAGAGGAAAACCGAGCGAAGUCACAAGGACUCCUCAUCAGAGACGUCUGCUGAAUCUGAAUUGGAAGAAGGUGGCGAACCCAGGAAGAAAAAGAGAAGUAGCGAGGAGAAGGACCGGGAGAAAAUAACCACAGACAAAUCAAAGAAGAAGAGGAAACGAAAGCACAAGAAACACGGGAGGAAGAAGAAGAGGAAGACCUCAUCUGAUAUCGAGUCUGACUAAAGUGUAGUGUUUGGUUCUUUGUCUAACCAAUAGAGAGUUUCUGCCUUUCGACUACCAAAAACAUUUCAUCCAGCUAGACCCCCAUGUCGGGGCUGGCUGUUGACUCUGGGAAAAGCCUCCUGCUCAUAGUAAUUAAGACAGUUGGGGAUUUGUAAAGUAAUCUAAGGGCUGGGAGUUGCAGAUCAUCCAACCCUCUCAGUGACAAUGUUGCAUUGUUUUUUUUUUAGCAGAUAGAAUAAUCGACCCAUAUAGAGGUUAACAGUGAAACACCUUAAAUCGUGUCAAGUGUGACUGAACUGAAAAAUGUCCAUACGAAACACGAACAAACUUUCAUAGAUGGAUACUGAUCAACAGUAUCUAUACCCCUGGUAUGCAGGCCUUUGUCUGUUUUAUACCUCUGGGUGGGGGUGGGUGGGGGUGUUUUUUGUAAUACUGCGUCGCUAGCUACAGUGAGGUCAUUUUGUGACUUUGUUAUGCUAGUGCCUAUGUCACAAUGCAUGUGAUCUGAUGUGAUGGCCACUUCUUUUUCCAGCCUCAUAUUGAAGUUGGUAUUGUUAAAAUGAGUUAUAUUGUCCUUUACACGAGGGGCUAAACUGUUCAGUUAUCUUAAAUGAGUUAGUUCUACAUUGAAUAGGUUCUACUCAUGAAUUAUAUCUAUAAAUGAAUGGGAUUUUAUUAUUAAAGUGUUCUUGUUUUAGCCUUGAUAAUAUUUUUGUGAUUUACUGGAUGGAUGAUGAAUGAUUUGCAUGGGAUGAGACAAUGUACAUUAACACUUUGAAUUAUCAUCGGCAAAAAAACAACUGUGGGUGUUGCUAGGAUCACAAAACAUUCAGGGCUUAGCCACCGCCCAGGACAGGAAGUACAGGGUUUUGAAUGUACAUGCGGAAAAUGUAGGCUACAUGCUAGCGGCCUACACCUCUACAUUAUCAUAAUGCGCCAUCGCAAUUCUGGAUUAAUAGAUCUGGGGCUAUUUAAAUAUUUUGGGGGGGUCAAUUAGAGAUCCAGGGCUAUAGACCCAGAAGCCCAAGCCGAACCAUGCUACUGGAUAAUAAUCCUGAUAAUUCAAUAAUUCUUCCCUGUAACGUGAACAAAAUAUAUGUAAAGUCCCAGGUCAAAUUAUACCAUAUAGUUUAUUGCAAAUGUAAACAGAAAUGUUUUCCACAAACAAUUUGACGUUGCCUUGAUUGUCCUGCCCAUCGUCUGCAUCCUUUUCGCUGGCAGCAGAUACUUCUUCAACCUAUAAAUGUCAGCCAGCAUUGGGGAGCCCCAUGUAUACAAGCUGUUUUGUCAAGCCACCUUCCAGUGGUCUGCAAACAUACACCCUUUCAUGUUUGACAAAUUUGAGUAUGAUUGUCACUUUGCGAUGAACAAACCAAAUGCUGACUUUGUGUUAAACAUGUUUGAUGGCGUAGUGUUUGGUUUCUGGGACCAUUGUUACGUACUCUGCAAUGUUUUGGAGGGGGGGGGGGCAAUAUCAAUGAAUACACAGAGUCCGUGACCGGUUUUAUUAGCAAAUGUAUUGAUGACGCUGUACCACGUACAACUACAAAAUCAUUUCCUAAUCAAAAACCGUGGGUCAACAGUGGUAUUCGUGCCAUGCAUAAGGCAUGGACUGCAACAUUCAACUCCGGCAGCAAGGACAAUUAUAUGAAAUCCCGGUAUGAUCUCAGGAAGACAAUAAAAACUGUAAAAAGCCUAUACGGAGUCAAAGUAGAAUCUCUCUACCAGGGCUCCAAUACCAGGAACGUGUGGAGUGGUCUGAGAACCAUUACUGACUAUAAAGGCAAUACAGGCAGUUUGGGGGAAGUGUCGGCUUCUCUCCCAGAGGAACUGAACUCUUUCUAUGCCCACUUUGAGAACAUCAUCCCUGGCAUGGAUACUCAAAUGGACCAGGAUGGCUGGCCUUUACAAAUGACCCGGUCAGACGUCUGUAAAGCCCUAAAAUGGGUCAACACCUGUAAGUCCUCUGCAUGAAUGACCACCGCCCUGUAGCACUCACACCAAUCAUCAUGAAGUGCUUUGAGCACUUAUCUGUUACACUUAACCCGCUGCAGUUUGCCUACAGACAUAACAGAUCCACAGAGGAUGCCAUCGCUCUGACCCUCCACUUCUGAGGGUGAUUAACACAGCAGAGAGCAUCACAAGGUCUGACCUGCCAUCCCUGCAGGAUCUCUACACAGAGAGGAGUAGGAGGAGGAGCAAACGGAUCAUUACAGAUCCCAGCCACCCAUGCCACGGACUGUUUACCAAGCUGCCAUCAGGCAGAAGGUACAGGAGUGUUUUGUCCAAAACUAACAGGCUACAGGACUGCUUCUUUCCUCAGGUUGUAAGGCUGCUCAAUUCGGGAACCCCUCUUCCCUUCCAUCCAUAGUCCCAUGCACACCUGUCACUUUAUAUCAUGCUCAUCUGCCAAUUAUAUCAUGCACACCUGUCACUUUAUAUCAUGCUCAUCUGCCAAUUAUAUCAUGCACGCCUGUCACUUUUACAUUGCACUACGGUUGUACAGUUGUAUAGUUAGGAUUAUUGAUGAGUGUUUUUGUAUAGGGUUAUUAUUGAUUGAUUGUGUUAUCUUCUUUAUUUUUAUAUUAUAAUUACUGUUACUUUUUAACUUUAAACUGCACUGUCGAGAGUAGGAAAACCAAGCAUUUCAUUCCC
ensembl:lncRNA